rnacentral:rRNA from 1 species
AGCUCCAAUAGCGUAUAUUUUAGUUGUUGCAGUUAAAAAGCUCGUAGUUGAAUUUCUGGUGAGCGAGAGCGGUCCGAUCAAUGAUUGGUGCUUGCUUUCGCUGGCCAUCCUUGGGUUUAGCCAGUCUGGCAUUAAGUUGUCGGGCUGGGGAUGCCCAUCGUUUACUGUGAAAAAAUUAGAGUGUUCAAAGCAGACUUAUGUCGUUGAAUAUAUUAGCAUGGAAUAAUAAGAUAGGACUACAGUGCUAUUUUGUUGGUUUGCGCACCGUGGUAAUGAUGAAUAGGGACAGUUGUGGGUAUUCGUAUUCACUUGUAAGAGGUGAAAUUCUUAGAUUAAGGGAAGACGAACUACUGCGAAAGCAUUUACCAAGGAUGUUUUCA